AUAUUUAAAUUGAUGAAAAAAUUCAUACCCAAAACUGAAUUAAAGUUGAGGAAUUAUUGUAACAUGCAUCACCAACUGAAUUUUUA
rfam:Lucilia cuprina strain LS Scaffold798, whole genome shotgun sequence.